GCUUCUACUUACCCUCUUUAUCUCUCGCUCAGCUCAGUCUUCCACUCUGUCUCUAUAAAGCACUUUAUGUUUUCCUUUUUACAUUUUUCUAUUUCUAUAUAGUCCAUUUAUUUUUCUAAUAUUUUCGCACAGAUAUAUGUCUCACCUAGAGUCCUGUAGUGUAGUGGAUAAAGCAUUUGUCUCGCAAGCAAGGGGUCCUGGCUUCGAUUCCUGAAGGGGGCAGACCUUGAUCCUCUAAUCCGCCCUCCAAAUCCUGGGAAGAUGUAUGUUCCAAGUUUUCUCCGAUGGCUACAAAUGACAAAUGACCCCAUAUAAGAGAGACAACGCUAGAACAACUUGCAUAUAUAGAGCACCCUUCACGUGAGGUAACGUCCUGGAGCGCUUGACAGAGGCGGAGUCUGAUCCCGAGCCAGGGGAGUCUGAACCCAAGCCAGACUAGGUUGACUUCUCGAUCCCAGCCAUGCCACUCUGGAAAAGAUGAAACAUUGACAAGCUAAAUUGUAGGGUUGGCAGUGGGUUAGCAGUAGGCGAUUCACAUCUCCCAGCUAUAACAGAUGAGCCUGUGCAGCUCAAGCAAGGUAGAAGGUUAGGGAAAUAGAGAAACAUAUCCAUGAAAGGAUACAUUCACUUAAGAAGACAUAUUGUACUAUCUCAUUUUAAUCAGUAACAGCAUAAGACGAUUGAUAUAAAUAAUAUUCUCCUUUAUUCCAAUUAGUUCAGUCAUGGGUCUUUUAUGUUAUUACCCAGAUCAACAACAACAACUUGCAAUUAACAAUGACAUAGUUUGAUGCCAAUACAGUAUAGAAUAAUAAGAACAGGUUUAUUAGCAGAAUGAUAUGCAACACAAAUCCCAUUAAUUUGAUCCUGAUGUUAACAAUCCUCCUGCAAAUAAAUGUAUUUCAAGAGCACUCC